UUCAAGUAAGGUCUGAACAACAUUGGAAAAAUACUGAUAAAAAAUAUGUUUUCUUUCUAAGGUAUAUGCCUAUUUAGUGAUAUUCUAUAUCCAAACUUUUGUGAUGCAUUUAUUGCAAAUGUUUCUAUUGGUAAAUUGAUCAAAUUCAAAUUCAUUGUGCAGCCUUGUAGUUGAAGUCAACAAUUCUAUUGUUUUGGUUCUCAGGAGGAACCCUUUAACCAGCUGCUUGUGAGUCUGUAAUGGUUUAUUUGCAAACUAGUUAAUAAUUAUCAGGGAGCAACUUUACAACAUGUGCACCUGUUGUCUAAGGACACUAAAUGAGAGACAGUAUAACUUUAGGGAUUGGACCGCUACAUUGGAAAGGAAGAUCACUUCAUCGCAGCUGUUGGAAACAGACCAGGUUUGCCUUCAGCAGCUCCAGUUUGGAUGAGAGAAGUUCAGCUGCUUCCUGCUGAGACCCCACAGCUCCCGGUUCCUCCUGCUGCUGGUCGGAGGGCGAGUCAGUCGCUGAGAGACCGGCGAUCUUCUGCUCGAUCUCCAGGAACAUCUCCUGAACAUCAAGAAACACACACUUUUGUCAAACAAUUAAAUAUUUAAAAAUAA